rnacentral:rRNA from 1 species
CCUACGGGAGGCUGCAGUAGGGAAUCUUCCACAAUGUGCGAAAGCCUGAUGGAGCAACGCCGCGUGGGUGAAGAAGGUCUUCGGAUCGUACAACCCUGUUGUUAGAGAAGAAAGUGCGUGAGAGUAACUGUUCACGUUUCGACGGUAUCUACCCAGAAAGCGACGGCUAAAUACGUGCCAGCAGCCGCGGUAAUACGUAGGUGGCAAGCGUUAUCCGGAUUUAUUGGGCGUAAAGGGAACGCCGGCGGUAUUUUAAGUCUGAUGUGAAGGCCUUCGGCUUAACCGGGGUAGUGCAUUGGAAACUGGGAGACUUGAGUGCAGAAGAGGAGAGUGGAACUCCAUGUGUAGCGGUGAAAUGCGUAGAUAUAUGGAAGAACACCAGUGGCGAAAACGGCUCUCUGGUCUGUAACUGACGCUGAGGUUCGAAAGCGUGGGUAGCAAACAGGAUUAGAUACCCCUGUAGUC